rnacentral:rRNA from 1 species
CUACGGAGGGUGCGAGCGUUACUCGGAAUCACUGGGCGUAAAGGAUGCGUAGGCUGGAUGUCAAGUUGGAAGUGAAAUCCUAUGGCUUAACCAUAGAACUGCUUCCAAAACUGGCAACCUAGAGUGAGGGAGAGGCAGAUGGAAUUAGUGGUGUAGGGGUAAAAUCCGUAGAUAUCACUAGGAAUACCGAUUGCGAAGGCGAUCUGCUAGAACUCUACUGACGCUAAGGCAUGAAAGCGUGGGGAGCAAACAGGAUUAGAAACCCCGGUAGUCC